rnacentral:rRNA from 1 species
GUAGGGUGCAAGCGUUAAUCGGAAUUACUGGGCGUAAAGCGUGCGCAGGCGGUUUUGUAAGUCUGUCGUGAAAUCCCCGGGCUCAACCUGGGAAUUGCGAUGGAGACUGCAAGGCUAGAAUCUGGCAGAGGGGGGUAGAAUUCCACGUGUAGCAGUGAAAUGCGUAGAGAUGCGGAGGAACACCGAUGGCGAAGGCAGCCCCCUGGGUCAAGAUUGACGCUCAUGCACGAAAGCGUGGGGAGCAAACAGGAUUAGAUACCCUGGUAGUCCACGCCCUAAACGAUGUCUACUAGUUGUCGGGUUUUAAUUAACUUGGUAACGCARMWRACGCGUGAAGUAGACCGCCUGGGGAGUACGGUC